AUUUAUGGACAUUCGUAGAACUCUUAGCUGCUUCAGUCCCAGCAGGGCGUUAAGUCGACAGCCUUGUGUGUUAGACUGACUCGCCACCCGAAAUCCAGACAGCUCCUGGAGAUAAAUUAGCUUCUCGAGUCCACGAGGUAGAUACUGGAGAGGACAAGAUCCGAGGUCCAAGAUGAUCAGCUUCUUCAAACUAGUAAUUGAUGGAUGUAGUUUGGUGCACCUCCUCAGAACAAGUAUUUGGAGAUUACGAAGCUUUUGAAUUGAAGAUGGGAGCUCAAUAUUGCCUGCAACUCCGCUUAAGUUGAGACAUGCAAGGCGUUUAAGUGAAGAGAUCUUAUCCAAUAGAUCCUCAACAUUAAUUUGAUCAAGCUUACAGUAUGAGAAAUCCAGCACCCUCAGUGACAUGAGCGAUUUCACAUUCCAAAGGGAAACUGGAGUGCUUGAUUGCAGUAUCAAUGCCCUGAGCCUUGAACUUUUUUUCAGGGAUUUUGGAUCCAUGUCACUGUUGAAACCGAACCAUCGCGAGUCUUGUGUCAAUUUCUGCCUGCCUUGUUCAUCAAAGCUGCAAAAAGCCUCAUCUUUUGCAAUCUGAAUGGUCAUAUCCCUGACCAGAUCGUGCAUCUUGCAACUAUAGACCCUGCCAUCAUAGCCUCUUCGAUGCACAACUUCAACCAAGCAUCUGCUUACUAGCUCUGAAAGAUAAUCAAAGCUUAAUUCCGUAGCAGUCCGAUUGUCCCUGCCCCGGACGAGUCCUUCUCCCACCCACCAAUGUACCAUCUGUUCACCACUUAUCUCAAAGUCGUCGGGAUAAACAGAGAAACACAAGAGGCACUGCUUUAGAUGUGUGGGGAGUUCAUCAUAGCUCAGUCGUAGAGAAGCCACCACCGAAUUUUUCUCUCUUUCGGUUGUCAAAUAUAUAUAAAAAUCAUCAUUGAUUUUAUUCCACUCACUAAGGGAAUGGGCUUUUGGAGCAAGCAAGCCUCCUAUUGUCUUGAUUGCCAGCGUUAGUCCCCCGCAUUUCAUCAAGAUCUCUCUACCUUUUUUAUCAAACUCCUUAUUGGGGCAUUUUCCCUUGCUCGUUAAAAAUGCAUGCUUGCAGAGUAAUGACCAACUCUCCUCUUCAUUUAAAAUUUUUGGGCGAUGAAUUCUUGACUCAUCAACUCCCAUACUGUUGACAACGGUUUCAUUUCUAGAUGUGAUGAUAGCGAAGCAUCUUUUUUCAGUCGGAUAUAAAUUCUUCCACCAAUCUAGAUUCAUUCUCCACACAUCAUCCAUUACAAUGAGACAGGUCUUGUCACUGAGCCUCUGUUGAAUUUUGUGCAGCAAAUGGCUUUCUUCAAUUCCCGAUUCAUCCUCUCCCAGCUGUUUCAACAUGGCCCUCAUGACUCGUUCCUCGCUGAAAUUCUGAGAAACUGGCACCCAUAUCCUCUUCUCAAAGUAUGCAACCAUCUCUCCAUCAUUGAAUAUCUUUUGGGCAAUGGUGGUUUUGCCUAAACCACCCAUACCCACAAUACCGAUUUGCUGAAGCUUCUCAUUACUGCUAAGGAUCCACCCUUUAAUCUUUUCCAAGUCCUUCUCCAAACCGAUUAUUUCAGAUGGUUCCUGGUCCUCUGGGGAAUAUUUAAAUAUUUGGUAUGAUGAAUUAUUAGGCCCCUGCUGGAUGAUUGGCUGUUCUGCUCUUCCAUACACCCCCAAGCUAGACUCCAUUUUCUCAAUCCGUGAAUUGAUAUGCUUCAAAUCGUUGCCUGUUUGGUAUAUGAAAAACAAGUCACGAAGUGAGAACCUGUGGCAAAACCCAUCUUUCCGAUAUUCAUCUCUAAUUUGGCAAUCCGUCAUUAUGUCAUCAGCUUCAUAAAUUAUUUUUCUCAGGUUAGGCAAGAUCUUCUGUAUGAACUCCCCCCAAGUUUUCUGCUUAUCAGUGCAGGAGAUGAAGGCAGUCAUUAGCUCAAGCUUUGUCUUCAUUGCCUCAAGCUGAUCUUUAAAAUCAAGUGCGUACUGAGCUUGAGUCAGCAAAGCAGAAAACACUCUCUCUAUCAAUGUCCCAAUCAUCGCCUCUGUCGCUUUCGACGCCGCCAUAUCCUCGGGCAAAUGUUCCCUGUUAAUUUCAUGUUCAUUAUCAUCUCAGUAAAGCAUACAUCUUAUGAGCUCGUAUGGGCUUCUGCUACAACCAUACAAUCAUGACACACAUAAAGUACAGAUGGCAGAAAAGAGACUAGCACUUUCAGUACUAGGAGGGACAAGACAAAAUAUAUAAUGGAUCAUCUCAUUUCCAUGGGACUUGACAGAACAUCUAUCAGAAUAGUGAAGUCACCCAACAACAUUGAUCAGAGUAAAAUUGUGUCAUAUGCGUGAAUCGACAGAAUGAUAGAUUGUUACUAGUCAGAACAUAAUAAUGUAUCGAAAAAAAACUGAGAAUUGAAGCUAAGGUCUAGCUCACUUUCUUAGGACUCAGGUCUUAGGUUCGAGCUUCAGUAGAACAAGUUACGAAUUGGUUCUCUGCGUAACCAAGGAUCAAAUACAAUAAUUUAUUGAAAAUAUAUUUAUCAUAACUUUAAAAUUAAGAGAUACAACGACAAAUAUUAACUUAAUAAAAGAUCAUCAUCGACCGUCAAAUUCUAUAGACACGUUUAUAAAUUUUCAUGUUUAAAUUCACAUCAAUCAGAGAUUUAGCAAUUGCAUGGGUGAUGGUCGAUGAAUCGUAAAAGGGUUUUAAGCAGAAGCACUUACUGGAAUCCUGAAAGUGUGUGUAUGUAUAUAGCUUGACUGGGCUGAACAGAGAGUAUGGUAGAACCUGAAACCCAAAAAACAAAUUGAGUUUUAACAGUCAGAGUAGAUUGUUCAGCUGAAUAUAACAGAGUACCAUGUAAACAAAUUAUUUUUAUUUUUACUUGUAAUUCCUAGCUGGCUGUUCAACGUUUCAGUUCGCUUAAUCACUCACUAGCUCUUAUCUGGCUCUGGUAAUUUGAUUUCUAUUGCCGAUAUUUAUUAUAUAGGAGAAGACAUGCCAGAAUUGAUCAAAUAACAAGCCACCUGCGCUUUGUAUUUUGAGGGUACAAGAAAAGAAAGUGAAAAAAAUAUUUUGACUGAUUAAUAAAAGUUGAAUUGGUUAAAGUUGAAAGCUGUUGGAAUUUGGAGAUAAGAAGCAUUUAUAUUCUCUUCUCUUCACAACAAUCCAAUUUUGUUUAAUUAAAUAUCAUAACAAUUAUAUUUUUAAUUUUAACAAAUUAUAAAUUUAUGAUUUGAAUGAGACUACAUAGUUGCAUAAGAAUUUUAAGAAAAAAUGUUAUCUUCGUAGUUUAUGGAAAUCAUUAAUUUAGACCUUUAGCCCAAGUUGGUACUAUGUAAAAUUAUUAUAUAAUAGAGUUUAUUAACUUAUCUGAGUAUUAAAUUGUAGUGGAUUUACUAUAUUAACCUAAGUGGUGAUCUUAUUUGCAGUACUAGAGAAGUUUUGAUGGUAUAGUUAAUGGGACAAAGAAGAAUUGCAGUAAAAAGAGUGCGUGAAAAAAAAUUCAAAAUAAUAAUGAUCUUAAAUUUUCUAAUUUAUUUCUUACCUAAUUAAGGAUAAUUUUGGGUUCACAGUAAAAUAUGUAGGGAUAUAUAUGAAAUUAUAUUGAAGAUAAAAUUGAUUCUCAAAAUUAAAUUUUGAAAAACUACUAUCUCCUCGCUUUUCAAAAUCAACUAUAAUAUAGUAUACAAUUAUUUUGACAAAAGUGAUUUUUAAGAAAAUUUAUCAAACAGUAAAGUUAACUUUUAAUUUUAAAAAUUAUUUUUGAGCCUUCUAACAGAAAUUUCAAACAAAUCCCAAAUAUUUCUAAAUAACCAAGUAUAACAUUACUUAUAAAUAAAUUGAAGUGGUAGGUUAUUCUGUCCCAACAGUCAUUUCUAGGCCAGUAUAUCACAUACAAGCAGAAGGUUCUGUAUCGAUUCCUCUCACUUGUUUGAAUGCUCGAAUGUCUGAUGUCACAUACCAUCAACAAAUAGUUUGCUUAUCAAACAAAGAAGAACUUUUUCAAAAAGCAAAAGAAAAAAAAAGAAGACUCUGAUAAAAUCCUGAGAAUAUAGUCUUUUUCUUUGCAGGUGAAUUCGUAUUCAAAGGGCCCGAUAAAGCCUGAAAAUAUUAAUUGAUACUAUUCUUGUUGAAUUUUUAACAGGCAUGAAGAACAAUUAUAGGCUGGCAUUAUUGUUGUAACCCAAAAUGAAGAGAAUCAAAAUAAAACAAGAAAAGGGAAACUGCUUUAUUCACAAUAGGAAAAUAAAAGUACAUAUAUUAGUCACAAAAGUCAAAAUCAAUAUUUUUUUUAGAUAUUUCUGUCAAAAAGAAGAAUAAAUAAAGAGGUUUAAAAGUUUAAUGAUUAUUCUCGGUCGAAGCAAGGAGUGGGUAUGUUCGAAUUAAAAGUUUCAAUUAGAUUAAAUAUGAAAUUGAUUCUCAAAACAAAAUUUUAUACUGUUUCCAAGUUCUUCAAACAGUUUUAGUUUACUGACCAUUUGAGUUCAAGAGAUUAAAAAAAUUAAUUUUCGUUUUGUGCACCCCCUCUAUCUUUUACGGGUGGGGUAAAAUUUUGAACAAAGUCUAUAGUAUUUGUGGCUUUGUUACACACACGGCCAGAUUUUGGUCCGAUUUUUCUGUUUAAGCCUUCAAAUGAUCUUUAUUUAUUUAUUUAAGAAAUUUUAAGAAUGUUUUCAUUGAUUUUUUUUUUUAUCCGCCUGGUUUUGGGAAUUAAGGAUACUUUGUUUCAUUUAUUUUAUUUUUAAUUUAUGGUAGGUUAGUAGUAAUCUCAUAUUAAAAAUUCGUGUUAUUGCAUCCUUGAAUGUUUUCAUUGAUGGUUUAUCUAAAGGUAAUCCAGGUAGCUCAAUUUGUGGUGGUGUUUUUUGAGAUUACACGGGAUCUUUUUAGGUGCUUUUGGUCUUUCUUUAGGCAUUAACACUGCCUACUUUGCUGAAAUUAUGGCAGCUACGUUAGCUACUGAAUUUGCUCAUGACAAGGGUUGGUAUUGUCUUUGGCUAGAAAGCGACUCUAUGUUAGUCAUUCAUCUUUCUUCCAAUCCUUCGCUCAAUCCUCCAUGGGGUAUUCAUAACAGAUGGUUGAAUUGUUGUAAUCUCAUCAAUUCUAUGGUGUUUAGAUUCUCUCAUAUCUUCUGAGAAACUAACUAUGUGGCUGAUCAUUUAACUAACUUGGGUCUUAUUUGUGAUUCUCUCACUUGGUGGCAGACUCCGCCUUUAGAGAUUUUGGGUUACUUUCUCAUGAUGCCAAUGAAUUUCUAAAAUAUCAUUUUAUAUGGUUACCUCUUUUGGUUUAACUUCAUACUUUUUUUCUUUUUUCUACUUUAACUUCUCACAAAUUUUAAGGGAUAAAACUCAUUAUGUCCCCUCUAGACAAUUGUAAUUCCUUUCUUUUAUUUUUUUGAUUAAUUAAUUCAGUUUAUAAAAAAAAAUUGACCAGUAUUAUUACUCUAUGUAUUAGCAUUAAAUCACACAUUAUUAAUGAAGUAAAAAUGAUAUGACGGAUCCAAUUUUAGUAGGUUUACCAAGUUCAAUUAAAGGCGGAUUAAACAAAUUAAUGUGUAAAAAUAAAACAAACAAGAGAAUUUUUACAUGGUUUAGGAUUCAAAUCCCUGCAUCCAUGAUGCCACAUUUAGAUAUCAAAUAAUUCACUAGGUUCAAGAGAUUACAAACUAUUGGAAUCUUACACGGUCUGAGACACCCUCUAGUGAUUGUGGCCACCUUGUCAUAACCUAACCAAGUGACCACUUUGUGUGCACCACAUGACUUUUGCUUCCUCCCCAGAGCAAGACUUCUUAGUCAAUGGUGUGUCACCUCUCUGUAAAUUCCCUCUACCGCGAACAUGUGACCCUUCUCGUGAAAAGACUAGAGACAAUGUCUCCCAAAUCAAAGAAUGAUCACAAGGUUGUAGCCUCUGAAGUAGAAUCCUUUUAGUAAAAUAUAUGAAUGACUCACCUUUAUACAGUGACAAACAAAUCACGCGUAAUGAAGAGUCUAAAUUUUUUUCCUUUGAUAACUCCCAAAGCCUUUAGAUGUAUAAGGAACUCUUCACGAUAAUAUAACAAUAUUAUCUCUUCAAUAUCUGUUUAUCAUCUGCUUUAAAUCAAAACAAUUUAAUCUCAAUCUUCAAUGAUCACGCCAAUUGUAUUUUCCAUCUCAAGGAAUAUUGCUUGCUUGAUCUUGAUAGAUAACAUCUAUGUAGAGAUUGAUUUAUCUUAAACUACUUUGACCUUGUUGUCCGCAUGUGAAGUAACGCCAUGUCUUCCAUCUUCUCUAUGGUUCACGCCAACUUCAUCAUAUAAGUUUGCCUUAUGCGUUUCGCUCAUGCUAAAAUAUCUCUGUAUAGACUAAUGUGGACCUCACAUACAUGUAAUAUGUAAAAUCCUAAUUUGCCUGUAUUUGCCGUCGUUCCAAGGCACUGUUGUAAUACUUGAGAUUAACUAAAUUACGUAGGUAUUAAAAUAUUAAUGAAGACUCAAUGAUGUGUACAAUGAGGAUGGCGACGUACAAAUAUUAAAUGGAUGUUGUAUAGAAAUACCAACAUUCAUACAAUGAAAUUCCUUUUUUUUUUCCCCAAAAAACUGAAUAUUGAAACUGAUUCAAUUUCAAUCACCCGCCCUAAAAGUUGCAUGACAGCUAGAACAGAUCCAAGAACACAAAAAGUCUGCGAAUUAAAGGACCAGAAAAUUGGAGAAUUACUUUAUCGUAGCAUCUUUCUUUUCCUUUAAUGGAGUGAAUAACGAAUCGUGUAAUCUGGGAAUUAUUUAAGAAUCUAAAUAGAAACAAUCUGUCACCACUGAUACUUGCUGGAUUAUAUUAGUGCCAUUCCUGAAGUUUGAAGAGCUUUAGAGCCACGAAUCUAAUCUUCAUGAAUUUUUUUUUUUUUUUGGGAUAAGCUGCAUGGAAAUUUCAAGAAAUCGCUGAUUGCGAAAAACAAGUGGAAAACAUUUAAGACCAAUGCGUGGUUAAAACUUAACACACCACCUGGGAUCCGUGUCUUCCUUCAGAAGGAUGCUUCCCAAUCCCUUUAAAAUCGCUUUAGUUGAUCAGGUAUGCGUAUAAAGAAAAAAAAAAUUAGAAUACAUGUAUGUCGGUUCAGUUAAUCAGGUAUGCGUAUAUCGUUUUAUAAAAAGAUUCCGCAAUUGAACUAAAAUUUUAUAAAAUUGAAACUAUAAUUUUUAUUACAAAAAUCUCAAAUUUUAUUAAUGACAUAAGAAAUUAGUUUUUUUAAACCUUAUUUACCAUAAGACUCCAAUAAUAACUUGAACUUACUAUCGGGUUACUAUUACAUGAUAAUCUACCAUGCAUAAAUUAAAGAUAAAAUAAAUGAAGCAAAGGACCCAUAAUCCAACAACCAGAACAUAUAAAUCAAUGAGAACAUUCUAAAAAUUUCUGAAAUAAAGAAAUAAAGAUCAUUUGAAGGCUUAAACAGCAAAAUUCGACAAAAAUCUGGCCACAUUUAAACAAAGCCACAAAUUCUUUACAUUUCGUUCAAAACUUGAAACAAAAUAUCAUGGAGGGUCUGGUUAACAUAUUACCCGGCCACAUAUCCUCGAUCAAAUGGAAAUAGAUGCCAACACAUCCACACUUUGCUUUGACCGGCCUACAAUUAAUUAUUAUAAUUUUAAACUCCUUUUCUUUUUUUAUUUUAUUUUUGAAGGAUAUGUAUGAUACGUGUGCUUUGUAAGACUUGGUCAUCAGUUCUGUUAAUAAACUAGUGGAGCUAGUCUUUAGCAUUAAUAAACUAGUGGAGCUAGUCUUUAGCAUUCUGUUUUGAGUUUUCUGUUAUAAUACCAGGUGAUUUGGUCUUGUUGUUUAGUUUCCAACUGUAAGACUAUUAUAAGUAGUCAGUUCUGAGUUGAAUAAAGCGGAAUUACAGAAACAUUUUCCCUCUCUUUUAUCUCUCUGCUUCCUUCUUCUUCUUAACUCUUAUUCUAAAUUAUACCAUAUCAUUUUGGUAUCAGAGCAGAUUGGUCAAUGGACACUCGCGGUAAAUCUAAUGCCGAAUUCCGCAAUGAUGUCAACGAAGCCUUAGCUCGACAUGAAUCCAAUUUUGAUCAGAUCAAUGAUUCCUUGCAUAAGGUGUUAACUGAGUUACAAGCUUUGCGAGUCUCCCGACCUCAACCAACCAUCCAGCCUGAAAUCAACCCUUUUCACCUCGGAGAAACCUCACAUACCACAAACACUCACACACCCCACACACCAAAUGACCAACAUCACCACCUCAAACUUCACUUCCCACGAUUUAACGGAGAAGACCCCAGCGGUUGGAUUUACAAGGCAGAACAAUACUUUGAAUUUAAAAACAUUGCACCAGGCCUACAAGUUCAACUUGCCUCUUUCCAUCUUGAAGGUAUUGCCUUACAGUGGCAUCGGUGGUUAACAAAAUUUAAGGGACCAUUAUCUUGGCAAGAAUUCACAAAAGCCAUGCUUCAAAGGUUUGGCCUAACAGACUAUGAAGAUCCCUCUGAAGCUCUCACACGAUUAAAACAUACCUCAACUUUAGAGGCUUACCAGGAGGCUUUCGAAAAAUUAUCCCACUGUAUUGACGGAUUACCUGAAAAUUUUUUGGUGGGUUGUUUUAUUGCAGGUCUCAAAGAUGACAUUCGCUUGGAUGUCAAGAUCAAACAGCCGCGAACGUUAACUGAUGCUAUUGGUGUUGCUCGGCUGGUUGAGGAACGAAAUAACCUGCAAAAGAAAAUGAGCACUUCCUUUCGUCCAUCCGCAAUUACAGGAGCACAAAGAAUCAUACCACACCAUUCCAGUGGCGUAUUAGGCCCCCCGCCAACUUCCAAAGUAAACCACAAUGCCAGCAACUCAACAAUUCCAUUUCGACGCAUCACAAAUCAAGAGGCACGAGAACAACGGGCAAAUGCUCUUUGUUAUUAUUGUGACGAAAAAUUUGUUCCCGGUCACCGCUGCCAAAGGCCGCAAUUAUUCAUGAUAGAGGAUUCGAAUCAAAUAAACCUUGCUAAGGAACCUGCCGAACCCGAAUCUGAGGACCAUGAAGUCAUGCCUGAAGUUUCUGCCUACGCCAUUUCAGGAGCCAGUCAUCCGUAAACGUUCCGUGUGAUGGGUAAACUGAAGAACAAACCGGUAACGGUGCUCAUAGAUGGCGGCAGCACGCACAAUUUCAUUGAUCAAGCUGUAGUCACUAAAUAUGGGCUACCUGUUCUUCAGAAUAAAAGGUUCCAAGUGACGGUCGCCAACCAAGAACAAAUCGAAUGCAAAGGCUUGUGUCAAGCACUCACGAUCUCCAUUCAAGGUAAAUCAAUUACUGCUGAUUUUUUUGUGCUUCCUGUGGCAGCCUGUCACUUGAUUUUGGGCGUACAAUGGCUAGAGACUAUUGGACCAAUAGAGAUGGAUUACAAGCAGUUGACGAUGACCUAUAAAGUUGGAGAAGAGACCUACACAUUCCAAGGUCUUAAACACACCCCUUUAGCGGCAUUAUCUGAUAAAGAAUUCAACUCUAUUCAAGGUAGUGGAUUCCUAUUCCAAAUAUCUCUCUCUCCCAAUAAUUUCCAGCCGAAUCUUUACCCAGGUGACAUAAUUCAGAUCUUAACCAAAUUCUCUAAUGUUUUUACGCCACCUACUAGCCUACCACCAAAGAGACCACACGAUCACUAUAUCCCACUACAACCAAAUACACACCCUGUCAACGUAAGACCCUACCGUUACCCUUAUUACCAAAAAACACAAAUAGAGAAGAUGGUGAGAGAACUUUUGCAAUUUGGGUUGGUAAGACCGAGUAAAAGCCCAUUUUCAUCACCAGUCCUCUUAGUAAAAAAAGCAGAUGGUGAUUGGCGAUUCUGUGUGGAUUACCGUGCAUUGAACAGCAUCACGAUCAAAGAUAAAUACCCGAUUCCUGUAAUUGAUGAACUUCUGGAUGAGCUCCAUGGAGCUAAAUUCUUCUCCAAGUUAGAUUUAAGGGCUGGGUAUCACCAAAUCCGAGUACACGAUGCGGAUAUACCAAAAACAGCCUUUAGGACACACGAAGGGCACUGCGAAUUUCUCGUAAUGCCGUUUGGCUUGACCAACGCCCCAUCCACCUUCCAAUGCCUCAUGAAUGAUCUUUUCCGCCCUUAUCUAAGGAAUUUUAUCUUGGUCUUCUUUGAUGACAUCCUCGUGUACUCAAAGACAUGGAAUGAUCACCUUGCACAUCUCCGGAUUGUCCUCUCUAUUUUGCAAACUAACAAACUAUUUGUUAAGGAAACAAAAUGCAGGUUUGGUGUUUCUCAGGUGGAUUAUUUGGGUCACGUCAUUUCAGACCAAGGAGUAGCAGUAAGUCCCUCCAAAAUACAAGUUGUUCUUGAAUGGCCAACGCCAACCACUGUCAGAGAAGUACGGGGGUUCCUCGGUCUAGCAGGUUAUUACCGCAAAUUUAUCCUCCACUUCGGAUGUAUAGCAGCCCCUUUAUAUCAGUUGUUAUCAAAGGAAGGAUUCAAGUGGAACGAGGCAGCCGAGUUAGCUUACCAACUUAAAAGAAGCACUAACGUCUCCUCCAGUCCUAGGCCUUCCAGAUUUUUCUCAACAAUUCGUAAUCGAAUGUGAUGCUAGCGGGAUUGGAAUUGGACCAGUACUCACUCAGACUAACCAGCCAAUAGCAUACUACAGUGAAGCUUUGAAGGGGACGGCAUUAUUACUAUCUACCUAUGAGAAAGAAAUGCUGGCUGUUGUCAAAUCAAUUCAGAAAUGGCGCCUAUAUCUCCUCGGGAAACCAUUUACUGUCCGCACCGAUCAAAAAAGCCUCAAGUAUUUACUUGAGCAGCGAAUUACCACUCCUGCACAGGCUCGAUGGCUUCCGAAGAUCCUUGGUUAUGACUACAAAAUUGAGUAUAAACGCGGACCUGAAAAUCAAGCUGCUAACUCACUCUCUCGUGUUGUUGAAUUUCAGUUCAUGUCUAUUUCGGGACCACAUGCAGAUUGGUGGCAAAAAUUGCAAGAAGAGGUACAAUAGGACUAUUUUUAUAAGAAACUGAGUCAUUCUCAUUCAUCCCAACAGUUGACACAACGAGAUGGAGUAUGGUUUAAAAGGGGCAGAAUUUAUUUGAAUCCCACUUCUACUUUAAUUCCACAAGUCAUGGCUGAUUGUCACUCGUCUCCAGUUGGUGGGCAUUUUGGGUUCCAUAAGACACUAUCUCGAAUUAAACUCAGCUUCUGGCGGCCAAACUUGCGUAAAACCGUGAAGGAAUUUAUACAGCACUGUACCAUCUGCCAAAGGUACAAAUCUGAUUCUAUGCGUCCGGCCGGUUUGCUGCAACCACUACCCAUUCCUCUUCAGAUAUGGACUGAAGUAUCGAUGGAUUUUAUCGAGGGACUACCGUCGUCAAAUGGUUAUACUGUCAUCAUGGUAGUUGUUGAUCGCUUAUCCAAGUAUGCUCAUUUUGUGGCUCUCAAACAUCCAUACACGGCAGUCACGAUUGCUAAAGCGGUUGUAGCUAAUGUGGUUCGCCUCCAUGGCAUUCCAACAGCCAUUGUAAGUGAUCGAGAUAAAGUAUUUGUAAGUUCAUUUUGGCAAGCAUUAUUUCAAUUACAAGGAACUAAACUUAGAAUGAGUUCUAGUUACCAUCCUCAGACGGACGGCCAAACUGAGGUAGUGAACCGUACUUUAGAGCAAUACUUGCGAUGUUUUGCCGGAGAUCAGCCACGAAAAUGGGUUGAAUGGAUUCCAUGGGCUGAAUUCAGCUAUAAUACGUCCAUCCAUUCCGCCACCAAAAUGACCCCAUUUGAAGCUGUCUAUGGUAUUCCUCCACCUCACUUACUUACUUUUGUUCCUGGCACUUCCCGUGUUCAAGCAGUGGAUGAGUACCUUCGGGAUCGCGACACCAUUUUACGCGAGCUCCGCCACAACCUCUCUUUGGCAAGACAACGAAUGAAAAGCCAGGCAGAUUUAAAACGACAGGAGGUAUCCUUUGAGGUUGGUGACUAUGUGUAUCUCAAGCUCCAACCAUAUCGACAGACGUCGGUGGCCUUUCGUGCUUCUAUGAAGCUUGCUCCUCGAUUUUUUGGGCCAUAUCAGAUUAUUGGGAAGGUGGGGACAGUAGCAUAUCGGUUGGCUCUACCCCCAAGCUCAUAAAUUCAUAACGUGUUUCAUGUUAGCAUGCUUCGGAAGCAUUUGGGACCUAUUCACACCUCAGCUUCAAAUCAACUUCCUCCUGUCUCAGACGACUCUAUUAUUCUUCCUCAGCCUGAAGCAAUACUUGACCGCCGAGUCAUUCAAAAGGGCAAGUAUCGGCCAAAAUCUGAAAUUUUGGUUAAAUGGAGGGGAGCUCCCAACGAGGACGCAACCUGGGAGAAUGAGUGGCGCUUUACCAAGUCUUACCCAGAUUUUAUCCUUGCGGACAAGGAUCCUUUAAGGGGGGAGGAAUGAUACGUGUGCUUUGUAAGACUUGGUCAUCAGUUCUGUUAAUAAACUAGUGGAGCUAGUCUUUAGCAUUCUGUUUUGAGUUUUCUGUUAUAAUACCAGGUGAUCUGGUCUUGUUGUUUAGUUUCCAGCUGUAAGACUAUUAUAAGUAGUUAGUUCUGAGUUGAAUAAAGCGGAAUUACAGAAAUAUUUUCCCUCUCUUUUAUCUCUCUGCUUCCUUCUUCUUCUUAACUCUUAUUCUAAAUUAUACCAUAUCAAUGUAUAUAUAUAUAUAGGGGAUCCUGAGCUUUCCUAAAGUAUUAGAAAUCUAUUAAGGCAUGUAGUUUAAUCAUAUAAUGGUACUAUACCGUUAAAUCAUAUGACUUACUAAUUUUUUCUAACUUUAACAAAGUUUAGGAUCUUGGACUAGAUCAGUAUAUAUCCAGUAUCCUGAAUUAGAAAACACACACAUACAGAGACAUGUAUAUAUCCGUGGAAAGAGAAGGCUUUAUAAAUAAUAAUAAAAAUACCUAAUUAAGGAGACAUAAUGAAUCUUAACCCUACAGAGAAGGUUAAGUACAAGGCAGCGAAAAAUAAAUUCGAAAACAAAAGUCAUGCAUGUGAAGUGCAAGAAAGUAAAAAGCAAUGCAAACAUAUAUCUAGGGAACCGCCAUUAACAUCUAUGUUGUGAAGAAGAAAGAGAAAGAGAGGAAGACAAGUAAACGUGCUUCUUAUCUCCAAUAGCUUUCCACUUUAAUCAAUCACAAAUAUCUUUAAACUUUAAUCAUCCCUUUAACAAAUACUUUUCAAUUACCCAAAUAGAUUCGACUUUAUUUAAUCCAUCAAAAUGUUUUUCACCUUGUUUUCUUCUUUUUUUUUCCUUUUUCCUUUUCUGAAUUCGAUAAUUACUCUUGCACCCUCAAAAUACAAAGCACGGGUGGCGUGUUAUUUAAUCAAGACUGGCAUCUCUUCUCCUGUAUAAAAAUAUCGGCGAUAGAAAUGUUCAAAUUAGCGCAGCCAGACAGGAGCUAGCCAGUGAGUGAGUGAGCGAACUGAAAGUUUAGAACAGCCAGCUAGGAAUUAAAAGUUAAAAAUAAAUAAAAUAAAAUGGAUGAACGUUCUGCUGGGCAUCGCGUGGUUCUAAUUUCUAAGACUGUUUUCUUACUAAUUUUGUUUCUUCUUUGUCAACUUGGCUCCGAGGUCAAAUUUCAGAGUGCUGCUGAAAAUAAUACUAAAGUAGGUGAUCUACCUGGUCAUGAAGGCAAUAUAUGCUAAUAAUUCUUUAUAUCUCGAGUAAAUUUCAUAAUUUUAAAGGGUUUUUGGUUCUCUAGCAUGCGGUUUGCAUUAUUAUAUACAUAUAAGUACAUAGGAAUUAAUUAAUUCGUUGAAUCAGAUGUCUGAAUUUUUAAUGUACAUAUAUAGUCAUAUAUACGCAUGAUCAGUUUACAAUAUAUAUAUAUAUAUAAUUUCACAAAAAAAAGAAUCUCUUACUUGAGUAGACAUAAGUUAAAAGAUUAAAAAAAAACUAUUAUAGUGUAUUUUAUCUUAUAGGAUAUUGAAAAUAUGUGUAUUUUUGUCCUUUAACUUAUCUCUUAUAUUAUGAACUCCCUUAUUAUAAGAUCAAUAUAUAUAUAUCAUCACUAAUUAUCAGGUGCGCAUAAAUUCUCUGUAUUGAGAAUUGCUAAAAGUUAAAACAAACGAAAUUAUAAUUAGAUAGCAAAUUCGAUAAUGCAUGCAACUUUUAUAAAUUAAUUAAGAGUUGAACGAAUGUUUUUGUCCUGUAGCUAUAUAGCUAGCAUAGAUCCAUUUGCUCAUGAUCACUUUAACAACAUUUGUUGACGGAAAUAUUAUUGGCAGUGGACGGUUUCACCGACAUGAUGUCGAGUUUGCAGUGGAAGGCACGACCACCUAAAUUGAGUUCAUUUUGCCGUGAGAUGGUAAAGCUAUUACGGCUAAUUUCCAUUAUUAACGGCAUGUCCAGCAUGUAAGGUUAAUUUCCAUUAUUAACGGCAUGUUAAUCAUUUUGAAUACAGAAUCAUGGAGAGUGUAGCCUUAACUGGAAAAAUCCCAGAACAUGUGGCUGCUCUGACAUACCGGCAGACACUGUAUGUACAAUUAAAUAAUUACUUCAAUGAUCAAUCAUUUUGCAUAAGCUUUUAUAACUAAAUUUAAUAAAUUAAACAACUAAAAUACUUAUAUAUAUAUCAUCGUAAGCUUGGAUAUAAUUAUUUGAUAUAACUUAAAUAAAUAAAUAAAAUUACUCUUGCCUUAAUUAAUACAUGCAUACAUAUUUGAUAUGGUUUUAUAUAUAUACAUGUCAAAACUCAACAGUGAUCUAUCCGACAACACAAUUCAUGGUUCCAUUCCUUACCAGAUUGGGUAUUUAUUUCAGCUUAUCACUCUGUAAGUCCUCACUUGCCGCAAGUAAUUCAAUCAUAGCUCCCUUUUUCUUUUUCUUUUUCCUUUUCUUCUGAUACACUGGAUUUGUGUGAUGAGUAGAGAUUUAUCAAAAAAUCAAUUAACUGGGAGCAUACCAACAAGCUUGGGGAAUUUGAGGAACCUAGAAACACUGUAAGUCUUUUCAUUAGUUACUACGAUCAUUGAGUUAAAAUUAUUCCUUCAUAUUUUGUCUCUAAGUGAAGUGUCAGAUUGAGAUUCUCUCCUUGCCUAUCCUGAAUUUUUAAAGCUCUAUUGACGUGUCACUUAACCAGUUGGCCAAGCCCUAGGGGCCAACUGCCAAUAACAGGCGGCAUUGAAUUUGAAGAGGAUCCAAAUCGGUGAAGUGUCAUGAUGUCCCAAGGAAUUUUAGUCGACAUUUCAUAUUUUUUAAGAUUCAAAUUUUAGGAUGUUUUAUCAUUACUAUUUAAUUUUGUACAUUAUGCAUGCUUGUUCACACACACACACACACACACUCACACACAGAUAUAUGAAAUCUCAAUAGAUAGAAGAUUUUUGGUUCCCUUCAUUUUCUUACUAUGAAGUACCAUCAUACGUCUAUGAUUUCCUGCCGUAGCGAUCUGGGCCAGAACUUACUCACGGGGAAGAUACCACCAUCGUUGGGGCGCUUGUCGUCUCUUCAACUAUUGUAAGAAUCUUCACUUGCAAUGCAAUUUAUUUUUAUUUUUAGGCAAAAAAAAAAUUUUACUACUAAGGGCAAAAAAAAAAAAAAGAUGACACUUAAAUGAGGGUACGCAAUGAAUCUUAUCCUAAAAAAUUAAGAAAACAACACAUAUGACCAAUAUAAAAAAAGAAGAGCAACAUAAGCAAUAAUUACUAGGAAAUAAAAUGCAUGUAACAAUGCAAAUACAACCAUAAACUCCCUGAACCCAUAGCUUAGGAAGACCUUGAGCAUCUUUAAAAAAUGAAAGGCAAAAUAGCAACAGGACAAUCCGGCUACCAAUCUGACUCAGAUUCCACAACUCCCAUAUUAGCCAAUUUAUCUGAAAAUAUGAGUAAAUCGCACUUACAUGUGCUCCAUCAAAAUCCGACAGUUCUUCCAACGAAAAAUUCAGAAGUAAAACAUUGAAAUAUUCAAUUAAUUAAUUACUCCAAAAAUUGCAUUUGCAUUUAUCUCACUAUGUACUUCUGGGCUUUUUAGGUAUCUAUGAAGCAACCAGCUGUCGGGGGAAAUUCCUCGUGAACUGGGAGACCUCUCACAGCUCCGGUAUUUGUAUGAAAUCUCACUCUACUUUUAAAAUUAUAAAGCCAGCUGCUUAAAUCAAUACUUAGCUUAUUUCUUUGAAAAUACAAUACAAUUCUUAAUUUCAUAUAUAUUUUCUAAUAAAUAGAUAUCUGCCGGAGAAUGGACUCAGUGGUACACUCCCACCAGAACUCGGAAAAUUAAGCAAUCUUUAAGAACUGUAAGUGUGUGUGUAAGUAUUUAUUUAUAGAAUUUAUAAAAUGGUUAAUUAGGCUGUUGAUCUCGUCGUGUAUAUAUAUGGUUGUAGCUAAUUAUGUGCUACAUAUAUGUUUGUACUUAAAAAGUCAUUUAUACGUACAAACGCGCGCGCGCACACGCACAUAUUUGGCUGGUAUGCAAUUAUUAUAUGUCAAUCAUUCAUCUACAUACAUACCAAUACCACAUUAAAAUUUACAACAGGUGGUUGACAUCCAACAAUUUAAGGGGGGAUUUGCCAAAAGAUUAUGAGAAUCUAAAGAAUCUGACGAUUUUGUAGGUGUCCUGUUUGUUCAUUUUCUAAUUGUUAUUGUUUUUUCAUUUUUAAGGAUUGUAAUUAAUUUGGUCUAGAUUUUUCUCGCUUAUUGCUUGAAGUCUGCAAAUAUCAGUAGUGGAAAUUUUAUUUGUCAAUGCAGUGACAUAGCUGGGAAUAAUUUAUCUGGUCCGAUCCCCAGAUUCAUUGCAAAAUGGGUCAAUCUCUAUUCUCUGUAAGCCUAUUCAUUUUAUCCUUUUAUGUGUCAACUGAAAAAUGGGCACUCUCAGUGUAAACAAUCUGCUUUUGUUGGUGUUUAAUAAUUUGCUACAUAAAACUGUUAACCAAACUCUGAUAUAUACUCCGUUGGCACACCAUGCCACGUAAAGGUAGGAAUAUGGGCUGGGUAGAAAUGUAGGUUGUAUCAUAAUAGAUUUGAUUUAGAAUAGUCGCAGUAUACAUAUCGCAUCAUAUAAAAGUAAACCUAUUUGCAUGAUGCGAGAAAACAUACAAAAACAAUGAAUUCUCCCACACGCGCGAGCUUAUUAUUAAUAAUAUUACUUUUCUUUGCUUGAAUCUCACAGAAAUCUGAUGGGAAAUAACUUCGAAGGGGAGCUGCCGCCAGAAAUUUUUAAUAUGUCAAGCCUUCAAUUUUUGUAAGAACAAUUAAUAAUAAUCCAAACUCUGCUCUAUCUAUGUAUGUGUGUGUAUAUAUAAUUCUUCUCUAGUGUAGGCGUUCUCUUUUUUUUUAUGGAAACAUGAUUUUAAGUAGCACGAUUUAACAGAAUUAAUUUUUAAUAUUAUUAAACUGCACGGCUUAAAAGUGUUUCUGUAAUAAAAAAUAAAAAAAUGAGGGCGUCUGCACACACAAAGAGAGAAAAUUUUCGGACGGACACACACACAUAUAUAUAGAAAAUUUUCAAUGACAUUAUACUACAUGGUGUAACAUAUAAUAUUAACGUUCUCGUAUUUUAAUAAAGUACAAAAAAUCUCAUUAGAUAAUGACCUAUUAAUGUUUUUUUAGUGCGGGCAUCCUCAUUAAAUGAGGAGAGAGACACACACACGCCCACGAGAGUUAGCUUUCAAUGUGGAACUCUACAUACAAUAUUAAAAACUAUCUUUUUCAUGGUUUGCAAUGUUUUGUCAUAGACAUUGUAAAGUCCAUGACCCCCGGAUUGGAAAUUUUCUUUUUUAAUUUCGCAAUUAACUUAAUGUCUCUGACCUACAAACGAUGGGCUUUUCUUUCCCGAAGUCAGCUAAUUUGAGUAGUAUAUCAAGCCCGUAAGCGGUGUAUUCCAAUUCCAUGCACGUAUAAUUAUUUUAUGCGUUAAUUAUAUAUUUAUCUGUUUUUGUUAAUUAAUUAAUACCUGAUCUGCAUUUUAAAUUUAUUAAUUGUAUACUCUUCCUUAUAAUUAAUUAAUUAAAUCUUUUUUAGAAAUUAAAUUAAUCAUAAUAAUUCUGCAGGACAUUGAGAAAUUGUAGCAUUACUGGUUCAAUCCCACCAUAAAUUGCCAAUUGGAAUCAGUUAGGCUACCUGUAAGUUUAUUUUCGUUUAUUUUCUUAUUAGUUUAGUAAUAUGAGGCCAGAGGUCAUUUAAACUUGUAUCCGCAACAUCUAUUAACCUUGUCAGAAUCUCGUAAAGUAAAUUACUAAACUAGUGUAUAUAUUUGAUUUUUGCAUAUAUUACCUCAAUUUCUAAGAUAUAUUAAAAAAGGGUUAUUUUCAAGAAUACUUUUGGAAAUACACAUCUGUCUUGGAAAAUAGUCAUUUCUAAAAGAAAAUUAAUAAAAUAUUACUGAUUUUUUUUUUUUUUGCCAUCUAAUCUAAUAUUUCCUAAGCUUUAUAUAUAAAAUAAAUUGCAGUUAUAUUACUUUGCAGACAACAAAAAAGAUUGUCUUCAAUUGAUAUUGCUUUUUUUUUUCAAAUAUUGUCUAAAAUUUAUUCAAUCGCCGACCUUCACUAUGCUCAUGGGUUGGGGAGAGUUGUUAAUCCACUUGUGAUCGUUUCCUCUUGCUUAUCAAUCCCGGAAACAAGGACUUAUAUUUUUUAUUUUGGUUGAUCUUUCAUCAAAUAAUUUCCAUAUUUUUUUACUGAAUUUUUUGUUUUUUUUUUUUUAAGUUUUAUUUAUAAGUACUAUGAUUAUGCUUUCAAUUCUAGUCCAUUUCCAUGAUAUAAUUCUUCUUUACAGAAUUUAUUGUCGGUAUUUCUUCUUUGCUCAAGUUUAUACCAAAGUUUAAAGUUUCUGAUUAAAAAAACUAGAGAAAGAAGGAGCAGUUUGGUUAAAAAGCGGCACCGCUUUUUAGCGCCCGUUAAGAAAACAGUGUCUUGAUAUUUAAUGAGAAAAAUUUUAAAUAAAAUAAAUCCUAAUCCUUGCUGUAAAUGAUCAUUUUUUUUCUCUAAUGAUUGAUUAUUAUUAAUUUGCCUGUAGUGACCUGAGCUUCAACAACUUAACUGGUGGAAUUCCAAAUACUUUGAAGAAACUGUUUUUAUCUGAGCUGUAAGUGAUAACUUUAUUGAAUCCCAUUGAUUUUAUAUCUUUUCCUUUUGACUGACAGUAAUAGUGUAAUAAAAAAGAAUCCAAAUAAUUUGUUUUUUCUGUUACUAUUUUUACUUUCCAGGUAUCUUACAGGAAAUAUGCUCAAUGGAACAUUGCCAGACUGGAUUUACAACAAUGUUAAAAAAAAGGGGUAUGCUUUCUAACUAUACAUAAAUGUGAUAAAAUGUUUUCAAACUUGUUCUAGUGUAAACAUUAUUUCCUUUCCCCAUCAAAUUAAACACAUUUUAAAUCAAAGACGCGGGUUAGGCAAAUGAAAAUUUAUGUAAAAAAUUUCAAUUUAGAAUAGUGUAAUGUGCAAAUGUUUUUUUUUUUUUUGAAUGGAAAAUACCUUCAUUUCAACUUAAAGAAGAAAAUAAGUACAACAAGUAGGGAGGGUAUGAACCCAUCCAAACAAUAGUUUCGAGCAUCUCUAGAGCUAGCUUAGCUAAAGAGUGGGCUAUCGCAUUACAAGAUCUAUUAGCAUAUUGGACACAAACUGAGCUAAAGCUCUUCAACAUGUUCUGUACGUCUGAAAUGGUCCAAAAAAUCUCGGAUCUGCAGCCCCGAUUGUUGUUAACUAACUUAACAAUCUCUUGAGCAUCUGAUUCCACAAUCAAAGACUCUAUCAUAGCAUUCCUUGCAACCUGCAGCCCCCAUUCGACUGCUUCUGCUUCUGCUAAACACACAUCACCAUAGAACUUGGAAACUUUGACUGCAGCUGCAAUCACAUUCCCAUCUUCAUCACGAAUCACAGCCCCUAACCCUGCAAUUUGCUUCUUCGAAUUGGUGGCAGCAUCAACAUUAACCUUAUAGAAUCCUUUUUGGGGAGGAUUCCAGGCCUUUAGCAUCGGAGAACUUUGUUUGCCUAUAUGAGUAGCUGCUGGAAUCUGGGUUCUUCGGAAAGCUUCCAGCACAGCUUCAGCCUUAGAGACUGUCACUUGGGGGCUUUCUUUUACUCUUUUAAAAAUCCGUUUGUUGUACUUAUUCAACAAAAUCCGUUUGUUGUACUGUGCAAAUGUUUUGAAGCUUCUUAUUCAAAUGCUAGCUGCAUAUAUUUAGUUAAAGAUAUUAUCGUCCCAAGUCAUGAACAAACUCUAGCCUGCCAGCCUUUUGCAUGCAUCUAGUUAAAUAUAUGAAUGUCCAAAGUCAUGCACAAACUCUAGCCUGUCGUUGUGUUUAGGAAUUCCUAUGCCAUUUUGCAUGCAAAUACAAAUUAAUAAUUAAUGCCAACACUACUUGUCUGAAUUGUCAUCUUGCAUACAAUGAAUUCAUAUUUCCAGAACCAGAGACACACAAGUAAGAAAAUAGCGUUAAUUAAUUAAUUGGUUCCUUUCUUUAUUAAUUUGUUUCUUUGCAGUUGCAUGAUUGCUUAUCCACAUGCAUAAUUUUAUAUAUAUAAAUGAAUUUCAUAAUAAUUUUAAAUUUUUAUCUUGUAGGAAUCUUCCCAACAACAGUUCUCGGAUAAAUGUAACAUAUGCACUCCGAUUUUCUUAAUUAAGUGAGUGAUUUAAUUUUCCUCUUCGCUAUUAAUUUUUUUAUUUCGUCACGACAUUUUAUCGAGAAUAAUUGAGCUUGAUUAUACGCGCCGAUGGUCGGAUUUUAUUUUCGUAACGGGUCUGAAAUUCGCUUAAUUUGUAUUAAGCUUAAAAAAAAAAAAAAAAAAAAAGAGGGGCAGAAUUGUAUAAUUGGAAAGAGGGAAACGGGUUUUCCAUUUUAGAGAGAAAGAACCCGAGAAGAGAGAGAAAGAUAGAGAGAGAAGUCAGACCCGUUGACCCGAGAACCCGACCCAGUAACCCGCGGAUUGACCCGACGAUUUCUCCCAACUCCAGCCACUUUACCGGCCGUGCUUGGUACCGAUCUGAAGCUUGGAAGCAGACCAUCGUAUCCCUGCUGUUAUCGUCGCCGGAAACUGGCCAGAACGCCGGUGAUCGAGCUCGAAAAGUCGCGGCUUCGACCCGUUUUCGUUGCCGUUGAUCCCGCCGGAGUUGUGACGCGCCACCACUUGGAACUGGUUCCUCACAUCCCCAGCAACAUUUCCCGACCAGCCACGACCGCCGGGGACGCCCGGAACUCGCCGAAUGAUCUCCGAAAAUUUGCGGAACUUUGGAACUUCGAUCCGCCGCCGGUAGCGCGCGUGGCGACUCACUGCCACCACCGUUGGAUUCACUGAGGCCGGAACUAGCAGACCUAAGCUCCCCGUCAUCGUUGACUGAAGUCCGGUCACCGUUGACCGGCAGGGGCAAUUCGGUAAAUUCAUGAAACUUUGGGGUGAAUUUGUAAUUUUAUGUAAUCAGUGGACAUUUCGGUAAUUUUAUGCCCUGAGGGUAAUUUCGUAAUUUCGGACAAUGUGAUUAAUUUAUGUAAUCUGAAUUGAGGACAAUAUGGGUAUUAACGAAUAUGAGGAUAAUUUGGUAAAAUCAUGAAGUUUGAGGAUAAGUUGGUAAAAUAUUGAUGUUGGGGUAUUUUGGCAAUUUUGGCCUAUAGGGGCAUUUUGGUAAUUUUAUACAUGUGGGAAUAGUUUAUCGUUAAUAGAUAUUCGUUUCGAGAUUUAUUAUAUUAAAUUGGUUGUAUUUCAAAUUUACGGAGAAUGAUUAUGGUGUUUCCGUGAUUAGGAGGAUCCGCAUCCGCGAACGAGAAUCAACCCGCGGACGUUGUUGAUACUGAGUCUAGACAUCAUCAAUGUGAGUGGAAUAUACAAAACCUAUUUUCAUAGUAUAUGCUGAUUUUCUUAUAUAGUACAGUAUGUUUGAGAAAUAAAUGUUUAAUGCGUUGAUUUAAUGAUUUUCCAGCGAAUUGACUUUUAUUUAUGUGUUGAUAUUUAUUAUGAUUGAGAAUGAGUUCGAUUUAUGAUUUUAUUAGCGUUUUUGAGUAAAAGCAUGAUAUUAGAAUUGAGCAGACUUGAGAUAUGUUGAAUAGAAAGAAAAUGAGAUUUCAGAUGGGAUCAUAUGUUUACUAUCAGUUUUGAAAUCAUUAGACAGUACCCUUCCCUCCAGAUACAGAGAUACAGAUAAAAAGAGAUACAGAAAAGAGAUACAGAUAAGAUGAGAUAGAGGCCUUUGGGGCCCGUCGGGACACACAUAGAGGCUUUGGGCCGUGUGUUCGGGCGCUUUUGCCUUUUGGGGGCUUAUGCAUGCACAGUACAGAUAUAUGAGAUAAGAGAUAUGAGAUAUGAGAUGAGAUCGUCCCCAUCUAUCCGUUGUGGCUCCGGGGCAUGACGUUACCCAGAUAGUGCGUCAUUGCCUGGCCGUUGUAGCCCGGAUAUGAUCAGAUUAUCCCCUGGGUACUUGUUUGAUGACAGUUUUUAGUAUUCAGUAUUUAAUAUGAGUAUGGUGAUUCCAUCGAUUUUAUGCAGAUUUAUUAUUGCAGUUAUUCAAUUUGAAUUAAAUGAGUUUAUGAUAUUUUGAGAAAUUGAUUUGAUAAUUGAUUUACGAAAUUGAAACUGAUUUAAGAAAAGAUUUGAGAAAGAUUAAAUGAUUUUGAAUAAUUUAUUAAAGUAUCAGCACCUACUAUCCACUCACUGAGCUCACUGAGUUUUAUACUCACCCCUCUUUUAUUAUAUUUUUUCCCCCCAUAGGAGAUUUACAGGUACAUCAGUCAACCCAGUAGUGAACGUUAGUUUGAUAUUGUGGUCACGUGAUGGUGCUAGAAGUCGUGGAUUUUAUUAUUAUAUUCGAAAUUUGUGUUAUUAUUUUAUGUUAUUAAGGAUAAUCGUUGUAUUUUAAUAUUCGGAUGAUUUUGGUGAUAUUCGAGAAGUUGGUUAUGGAGGAUGUUUGGUUAUUAAAUUAUUUCGGGAGUGUUAUUUUGUCAUUUGCAGGGUUGGAUAUGUUUUAUUUAUAAGGGAGACUCUGCCGAAAUUUUUAUAGAUUUGUUAUUAAUUCGAUUUUACGAGUUUAGAUAGACUCGCCCUGGGGGAGGUUGCGGGGCGGGUCGUUUCAAUAAAUCUGUAAGAAAAUUAUACUACACCCUAUUAUAUAAUAUUCUCCUACGUUCUUACUCAUUUUCGUGCUGCAAAUUUCAAUUCCAACAGUUUCUGUCUAUCUCGUUUUCUGAUUUUGAUUUUGACUUUCAAUGAACAUGUGAUAUCUGCACGCACACUACUAACAAUAUUGCUGUGCUGUAACCAGUGAACCUAAGAAUCGGUAUGUUCAUAUUCAUUUAUCUAAUAAUUAUAUUAUAGGCGAUUUAUCGAUCGAUCAGCAAGCAAUUAAUUAUUACGUGAAUUAACGCCCUUACAAAAGUAAUUGAACUUAUUAUUGUAAUUAUUUAUAUAGGACAUUUCCGGAAGAGAUUGUGAGGAAGUAUUGCCCCGAUGGCCAGAAGAAAUCUCAGUGUAUGUAUAUAAGGAUUUAUUAAAUUCCUGAAAAACUGUAGUUUAAUAGUCUAAUGGUCGGAAAAACUAUUAAGUUUAUUUUAAUAAAGUGCAGGAGUUUAAAUUAUUUAUAUUUUUUAUUAUUAUUAACUCAUGCACAGAUUGAGACAUGAGCUCCAGGAAGGCUGUCCUUUGCCACCGGAGCUAGACCUUGGUUUCAUAUACAUGUUUAAAUUAAUCAAUGUGUACAUAUAUUGCAGACAAUGAUAAUUUGCAUAUAAAUGCUGGUGGCGAUAAACAUCACAGGGAAGGAUUUUGGUAUGAGGCAGAUAAAUCGACAUCAAAUUUUUAUGUUAACGAACCGGAAUACAACUGGGGAUAUAGCUGUAACGGACAUUUCUAUGCGGAUUCAAUGGCUGAUUCACGUGCAUUUAUACAGAAAGUAACGUGUGGAGCUGCAGUGAUUGAUGCAUCUUUAUAUGACGAAGCUCGCCUUUGCCCCAAUUCUCUCAAAUACUAUGGUUUUUGCCUGCGAAACGGCAAUUACACUGUCAGUCUUUUGUUCUCUGAGAUUGUUUUUGCAAAAAAUGAUGAUUACAGCAGUUCAGCAAAACGUGUAUUUGAUAUAUAUAUACAGGUAGGUACGCUAGCCACAAAUUUUUUUAAUAAUUUUAAUUAGCAAUUUAUCCCUCCCUAGCCUCCUUUAAUUAAUUUUAAUUUCCAUACAUGCAGAGCGAGCUAAUGCGAAAGGAUUUCAACAUAAAAGAAGUGGCCAGGCAUUCAAAUAAUGUAACGAUUCAAAAUUUCACGGCUUCUGUACACGACCAUCUACUGGAAAUCGAGUUAUUCUGGGCUGGCAAAGGAUCUUUAUUAAACCCACCUUAUUUUCAUGGACCUCUCAUAUCAGCUAUUUCUGUAACUCCAAGUACGGUGCAAAGUUGCUCUUUAAUUUUGUUAAUUAUCAUCUCCCAAUAUGCCUUUUGUUGCAUGCUAUCAAUCGCUGUUUAUUUUCAGAUUUCCAAGUCAACCGACCAGGAGGACUAUCUAAAAUAGGGAUAGUAGGAAUUGUACUUGGGGCUGUGCUAGCUUUGAUUCUUUUCUUGGCUCUCAUGUGGAGGUUAGGAUGGAUAGGAGACAGAGAAUUGCGUGGUACGUACGGGAGAUUAUUUAUAUAUAUUGGAAAAAUUUUCAAUUCAAAAUUAAAUCCCAGGAUGGAUUUAUGAUUUCGUAAAUCAAUUUUUACAAUGUUCUAAACUGAUUUACGAUAUAAUAAAUCUAUCUCGAACUUUAAUACUAGAUUUUAAGCUUUGGUAUCAUAAGCACUAUAUAUCUAUAUAUAUGUAUGUAUGUAUGUAUGUAUGUAUGUAUGUGCUAUAUAGAAAUUAUCAGGUGAGGGAUUUGGCACUAUAAUAAAUGCGAGAUGAAUUUUUACAAUAUUGUAAGUUUAGUAGAGUGCAGGACGGAUUUUAAAGUCUGUUUGCAACGUUUUGAAAGUUUGUCUCGUAUUUUAAUUGAGUGCAUAAUCCCACAUUAGAAGCCCACUUUAUGCUAUAUAUGCUAUAGUACUUUAUGCUAUAUUGCUAUAGUAUAAGGCUUAUAAAAGAUAUCAAGAAAAAAUAUAUGUAUAAUUGAUCUGUUUCCUUUCUCAUUUCUUCAUGAAAUACAUAGUGACAACGGUCAACCUACGAGGGAAGUCUUACACCCUUAAACAAGUGAAAGUCGCUACUCGAAAUUUCAGCCCCAGGAAUGUAAUUGGCACAGGGCGUUUUGGGACAGCAUACAAGGUUAAACAUUUAUUUUCCGUAUCUCUCUAUGUGCGUGUGUGUGUGUGUGAGCGUGCGCGUGCAUUCAUGUGUGUACGUGCGCGCGUGUGUGUGAAAGAUUUUCUAAUCUGGAAUUAAAAUUCAAGACGAGUUAACAAUGGUGUGAACAUAUUUUUACAAUGUUAUAAAAAUAUGUUCACAAUGUUGUCAAUUUGUUUUGGGCUUUAAGAAAGUCUGAGAUGCUAGACUAGAUCGCUAAUUAUAUAUAAUAAGGCACCCUUUACUUUUUAAAAUAAGGGAUCAUCUAAAAGAUAAAAAAUACAAAUACCAACCAAACGCGCUACAUUAGAGUGUGUGUUUUACUUGUCUUUUAAUUUAUCUAUUACUUUAACAAAGUAAUGGAUUCCUUAUUAGAAAAAUUUCUCUCUCUCUCUCUCUCUCUCUCUCUCUAUAUAUAUAUAUAUAUAUAGUCACCAGGAUCCUACUUUUACUAAAGUCCAGUAAAGCUAUUGAAAUAUAUGCUUAAAUAAUAUGAUGCCACUAUUAAAUCAUAUUGCUUAAUAGCUUUCCUAGACUUUAACAAAUGCAAGAUCCUUAAUUGGAACAUAAUACUAUGAAAUUGUAUGGCUUAAUGGCUUUCUCAGGCUUUAACAAAGUUUAAGAUCCUGAACUAGAUUAGUACUCUAUAUGUAUGUAUACAUUUAUGUAUAUAAAUUGAUUUUCCUUGUUAGAAAUAUGGUAUAUUAACCCGCUUGCUUGGUGCAAGCGUGCAUUACNNNNNNNNNNNNNNNNNNNNNNNNNNNNNNNNNNNNNNNNNNNNNNNNNNNNNNNNNNNNNNNNNNNNNNNNNNNNNNNNNNNNNNNNNNNNNNNNNNNNGCUUGAUGGGAAUCUGAACGCUAAGGUGUCUGACUUGGGAUUGGCAAAGCUUUAUGACCAAGAAAAUCCAUACAAGUUUAUCCAAGAAAAAGGGACAGUGUAAGUAGCAAAUUAAAUUGAGCAAGCACAAAAUGCAUGCCAUCUUGCACAAGCAAAUAUCAUUAAUUAAUUAAUUAUGGUCGCAUGCAGAGUAUACAUGGCACCAGAGUAUGCAAUGCGGAAAGCAAUAAUAGAAAAAGUUGAUGUUUUCAGUUUUGGAAUUGUUCUGCUUGAAAUAAUUAGCGGGCAGACAAAUGCCAAGUAUGAAGCAAACCAGGAGACUGAAUUUCUUUUGGAUACGGUAAGAAGACAACAACUAGAGUCAACUUUCAGUUCGGGAAUCUCAAAUUUUAUAAAGCUCUACACAAUACCAUUUUCAUGGUUUACAGAAUCCUUCACUUCAAAAAUUCCAGGAUUCCCAGAUUGAAAAUAUCUCCUUUAUAUGCAUAAAAUAAGGUCUUAAUUUAAUUUGCUAACGAUGUCGCAUGGCAUGGGAUAUAUGGAUUAUUUAAUAAAUAAAUAAUGUAUACUGUGCAGGCCAUUGUGUUGCAUUCAAAGGGAAGGCUUUCUGAAUUGGUCGACAAGCAAAUGCCAAAUGAGCAUGUAGUGAUGAAGCAAGCCAAAAUAAUCUUGGAGUUGGCAAUGAGAUGCGUGGAUCAGUCGCCUACUCUCAGGCCAACUAUGUCUGAAGUUUUGAGCGAGCUUGAGCGCAUCUCUAAUUAGAUCUGAACUGCUCAGGAUUCUAUGGUUCCACGUGGAUCCUUAUUGAACUCUGGACUGGAAUGUCUUGGUGAAGGUUAAGCCUAUAUACUACGAUUAUGCAUAUGUAUGUACACCGGGCAUUAUCUUAUGUUGACGGUGCACUGCUGCUUUCAAAUAUAUAUGGGUCGCUAUAAUGCUGUAAACUUUUAACAGCAUUAACAAUGUAAUAAAUGUAUACCAUUAGAUUUAAUUACUCUAAUGCAAUAUUUGUGUUAAAGUAAAAGAUAUCUUAAUUAAUAAUUAUUUUAAACGGUUAAGAAAGUGUGGUCAUUUUUGUAAAAUUAUUACAACCACCCUUAUAAUUUGAAACAAUUGUACUUGAAUAAUAUUUUUAUUUAAAUAUCACUUUUAAAACAUAUUUUUUAAAUAACUUGCAAUUAUAAGAUUUAUAUAUGGUCUAAUUCUAAUAAACAACACAACUAAAUAUGUACAUUUAAAUGAAUAUCAUAAUUUUUUGAAAAUAAUGUUUCAAAAUUUAUUACCAAUGAGCAUGUAAGAUAUGAUAUCUAAUAGAUUAUCUAACACAAAUUGUAUAAAUAACUUGCAAUUAUAAGAUUUAUAUAUGGUGUAACUCUAAUAAACAACACAACUAAAUAUGUACAUUUAAAUGAAUAUCAUAAAUUGCAUAAAUAAACUUUUAAGUGAGGUUGAUUGUAUUUUAUAUAUAUUAGGACCUUUGUAUAACUGAACUGAAACAUAUAUUACCUUUGAAACCCAUUUCUCAAAUAUGCCAAGCUCAACCCAGGACACGUAGGCUCGGCUUGGGUUGGGUUUUCCUACUAUCCCUAUUGCCAAGUGAUGUACUAUAUGGAAAAUCCCCACAUGAAAUGCUUUUUGAUGUACCGCCAGAACUAUCUUGCUUAAGAGUUUUUGCUUGCUUGUGUUUUGAUAAGAAUUUAUAGAUUAAAAAUAAAUUUGACCAACAUGUAAAAGGGAUAUCAUAUUACAACCCAUGUAUUAUAUGCAAAUUCUAUUCAGUUCUAAGUACGAAUUUGAUUAUUGUUUUUUACUUUAAUGAAUAUAAAUUAGGGUUGGGUUGUUUAAACCCACCAUAGUACAUUAUACACCCACUUUUCCAUAAAAAAAAUAAUUACGAAAUGUCCAUGAGUUAAAUUACUAUUAUAUCUUAAUGAAAUUAGCCUAUCCUCUCCGACAUCUAUAUAUGAAUCCAAUUAACUUAAAUUGAUUUUUCUACAAAAAGAGUAGCAGAGAGCAAUGUUUUAAUUUCGUUUCAUUUUCUUUUCACCUAUAUUCUUCCGAGUACACUUUUAUAGCUAUAUUUUCUUUUAAUGUGUGACAUUGUUGGUUAGCAAACUUCUACCUCUUGGAUUCAAUCCCCUUUCAACUCAAAUAUGUUUCUCAACUAGAGAUAUAUUUAUUUUUAGAAUCAAUUAAGGAGCAAAGAGAAAAUAAAAUCUGAAUUUUUUUUGGCUUUUCUUACAUUUAUGAUGCAAUCAUGCAAUUAGUUCCAUUAAACUAAUUAGAAAAUGUGUUCGAUUGAAUUCAUUACAUGUUAUGAAUCUUGACAAGGAUUAGACAAUAAAUUAAAAAUAAAAGUCAUAUAAUCAAUCAUAAAGAAAACAAAUCAUGCGAGAUGGCUAAGCCAUUGAUAUUUUAAUUUAUUGUUGGGUAUGAUUCAAAUAUACUUUCAUAGCCUUAACGUACUUUCCCAACAGGUGAUUUUGUAUUUCUAGGGAUAAAACAUUUGAAAGUAAUUUAGUAAAGGUAUAUUCGCAAUGAGGUGGGUUUAUAAAGUAAAAAUUUCAUAUGUAAGAGAGGUUUAUUGAGAGAAUGUGUUGAAAGAGUAUUUUAAUGGGUUCUAAUAGCCUUAUCCUAUAUAUUAAUAUCACUAAGGGAUUUUACCAAUGACCCAUCAAAGAUGUAUUAGUGGAAUUAAUUAGCAGGUGCUUCGUUUUAUAUUCAUAAGACCUGUGACUUGUGUAUUAUUACUACAUUGUAUGUUAGAAAAAUGAAGAGGACUAACUUGCUCAAUAUUACAAUUAUUUGGGCAAUAGAAGAAUUUGUUAAACUGAAGGACUUUAUUGAUAGUUUACAAGAAAAACGCUACAACACUCACGGGUCACUCGUCUUUCUCACUACUAAUUCUUCACUCUUUACUUGAUGCCUACAACAAAGAGCUUUAAGGAUAUUUGUAGUAACUUAAAACUAAUAUAAACCACACAAAUAUCAAAUUGCAAAAAUUUAAUAACCUCAUUUUACAAAUAUCACCAAAUAUUCAAGAACAUUCUAGAUUUAGAUAUUUUUACUUCUAUUUGAUAUUUUUUAAAUUAGAGUCAUCUCUCAUUUUCUACACAAUUCUUGAAACUUCCAUGGAUUAAACUUUGAAACUGGGAUUGGCUAAGUAUAAUUGGAUUAGAUCAUGACCCAACACCAACUUUCAUUCUUUGAUCCAUAUUUAGCUGUUGCUGGAACUCUUGAAACUUUUCGAUACUAAGACCUUUUGUAAACAAAUCCAAAACUUGGUCAUCCAUCUUGAUGUAUAACAUUUCAACUUCAUCUUACAAGACCUUUUCCCUGAUGAAGUGAUAGUGCACCUCCACAUGCUUAGUUCUCUGUUAAGCUGAUAGUCGAUUGGUUAUCACAAUACAAUGAUAUUGCGUAAUCUACUAGUUGGUGUAGCUCCUUCAUCAACUGCGUCAGCCAAGUGCUUUCUUGAGCUGUCAUCACUACUACUCUAUACUCCACUUAUGUGGUGACAAUGAUAUUGUUGGUUGUCCUUUACUACACUAAGAAACUGUUCCAGACCCAAUUCUAAAAAUAUAUUCAGUAGUUGAUAUUCUUGUAUCAAGAUCUCCAGCGUAGUCAGCAUCAUAAUAGCAAGUCAUCUUGUAACUUUCACUUUCUUUUACAAUAUACCAAAGUUGAUUGUAUUUUUCACAUAUUUUAGUAUUUGUUAAACCAUUUCCAAAUAAACCUUCUUUGGAUUUUGCAUGUAUAAGCUUAUUACACCUAUUGCAUAUGAAAUGUCUGAUUGAGUCAACGUUAAGUAGAUUAAACUUUUUACGAAUUGUCGAUACAUCGUUUCAUGUUGUAAAUCUUUGCCUUCAUGUGUGCAAAAUUUUGCAUUGACUUCCUUUAUAGUUGAGAUUGGCUUGCAUUCUAACAUUCCAAACUUUUUCAACAAGUUUUUGGCAUAUUUCUGUUGGCAAAAGAAUAUCCCCUCUUCUAUUUGAUCAACCUCCAUACUAGAAAAGUGCUUAAGCUAACCAAGUUUUUUCAUCUAGAAAUGAACUGAUUAGUUCUCCCUUUGCUCGCAGAAUCUCUUCUCCAUCGUCACCAGAAAUAAUCAAAUCAUCCUCGUACCCCAGUAUAGUUGUUAACUUUCCUUCAGUAGCUUUGACGAAUAAGCUUGAGUCUACAUGUGCUACUGCCACUCUAAGUUAGAAAUUCGACAAUCUUACCAUACUAUGCCCUUGGUACAACCGUAUAAUGCCUUUCUUAUCUUGCAUACAUACUUCGAAUGAGCUUGAUUCUCAAAACUUCUUAGUUAGUUCAUGUAGAUCUCUCGAUCCAAUUCUGUGUAGGAAGACAUUUUUUACAUCUAUCCAUCAUAAUUUCCUUUCUUUGCUAGCUGCGAGUACAUGUAGAACUCUUGAUGUUGUGAGCUUUACCAUCAGACUAAAUGUUUUAUCAUAGUCUAGCCCGUAUUGUUGUGAGAAUCCUCGAGCUACCAACCGAACUUUGUGUCUUUCAACUGAACCAUCUGGGCAAUUUUUAAUCUUGUACACUCAUUUGCAAGAUAUUUUAUAUCCUUUAGUUUCGGAACCAGAUCCCAAGUUUAGGUAAAUCAAAUUUUUAAAUGUAUGCUAAGUUAAAAGACUCAGAAAGUCACGUCAAUGGAUCCAAAUUUGAUUCAGAAGCUUGUUACUAACCUCAAAACUUAGAUGAUAGUGACCAGAUAUGUAAACAAAGAGGCAUCUCACAAAAGCCGAGAUGCACAACAAUUGAAAACAUAGCUUUCAUGAACAAACUUUUGGGGAUCUCAUGCGGCAGAGCAGGUGUGUUGGCCCACCAAUGAAACAGAUAACUGCUUGAGUAUAAAGACAUUUGAUUCUUAACUAAUUACGAGUAGCACCAAUAAAAGAGCAGCUAUGAAGUGGUUCGUAAUUUAACCAUUGGAACCGAGCAACAUAGUUAAAGAUUUUUCUUCGCACUACCAUGUGCAUGUUUCUCUAGUUUAAAAAUAAUACUGCAGAAAAGUAAAGUCUAAUAAUCACUAGAAGUAACUAGUCUAAUAUUUGUGAAAAGUACAACCCAUUUAGACACGCCAUACUAACCUGAGAGAAGAGUGUGGCAGCUUGGCAAGUGUCCACCAUUAUCAGCAACUCCUUGAAUCUAAUUUUGUGAUAAGACACACAAGCUCAUUAUUAAGCAGGAUCAUAAAUGUAUAAAUGUAAACGGCCACCAAAAUCUACCAUAAAUGAUUAGCAUUUCAUAUCGGCAUUUUACAUUGAGAAAUAAAUAUGUUUCAUCUAUGCACCAUCCAAAAUGGCAGAACUACAGGUCUAUAAACCCUUUUACUUUCAUUCUUAUGGUUGAAUGUUACUGUUAAAGGCAAUAGGCAUGAAAGCAGAAUACAAUCUCACCUGUGCUUUUCUUUCAUUUACUUCACUGCAUCUGCUAGAUCAUGACUUUGGAGCUCUUCUGAGUCCUGAAAUUUUAAAAAUUCAUCUCCCCCAUGACCCGUCAUGUAUAGAAGAAUAUGGCUUCCUUCAUCACUUAAAAGACGCUUUGAUCUAGGAACAGCAGCCUCGUGACGCCCGGUCAAAACUCUUAAAAAGUUUUCAACUGUCACUUCAUAACCACGAUAGUCUACCUGAGUGAUUGAAGUUUAGUAAAAUGACGAUCUGCUAAACUUUAAUUUCCCAGAAGCAAGGCAUGUUCAGUAAUUAUACACCCUUAAAUUUAAAUUCUUGAUUGACUGUCUCCAUAAGGUGUUCAUUGAAAGACUUAUAAGGAGACGGCACCCCCUUUCAAAACCUAAAGACCUAAGCAGAGUGUCUGGAGAACACAGUACAAACCUCGACAUUAUCUCCAUACAAAUUAAGUUUGUGGUUCUCGUUAUUGAAAACUUGUGCAGGAUACUUGUUUCUAGCAUUACAAGCCAUGUCAUCUGCCAGCAUAAGUAUUAUCCUCUCAUCGGGUAUUCCUAGCCGCUUAACUGUUCUGAAAAAUCAAGUUAAAGUGCACAGUCUACAAAUGAAAAGAGGAGGGAAGAGAAAAGCAAAUUACUUCACAAGACGAUGCGAAAACAACAAACUAAUCGCUUACCUAUACAAGGAUAAUGUAUUAGCCAUUUGUCGAUAAUUGAACCUGAACAAACCAAUUCAGUGAUUAAUUCCAUUGGCAAGGACAUGGAAUCGGUUUUUAGUCCAUCAAAACAAUGCCAUUUGACGUGGCAAUAGAAGUUUAUGAAUCCAAGCAAUAGAAGCUUGAAGAAUCAAGCUCAUCAACAAUAAUGCAGUAAUAUUAGCUGAAACUCAGAAAUUACAACACAAGAAAGAGAAAUUGGACCAUGGGUAUUGUUCAUCAUCAACAUUGUUAGAAAUGGGGUAUAAUUUAUAAUGAAACGGGAAAGCUUGAAUUCUUCCAAAAAUUAAAUCAAAAUCGGGAAAAAAUAUAAAAACUGAAAAUAAAAUAAAAUGAAAUAAAAUAAAAAUGAAGGUGAUUUAGUUACCAGAAGCGAGAAGUGCAAACCAAGACAGCCCAAUUGUUAGUGUGCAUAGUUGUCUCAGCUGAAGCUCUGUACGAAGUCGAACUGGAGAGAAUCAAAAGCAACAGCAUCGCCGCCAAACUUUUGAAACCAAAUGAAUUGUACAUCUUGUACCGGACCAUCAUUUUCUCGCGAAUUUUAAUUUUCUGGGUGGAAAACUUAAAACUGUGAUUUAAAUUUUAUUCGUUUUUGCUGAGGAUGAAAUCUAUUGUUGCAGUUUCAGUGACGCAAACAGUGCUCCAGCCGGAUCCACGUCCCGAAGUUGAAAAUAGGAUACAAAUUUAAAUUUAGCCCCGUUUGAUGUGGAAAUUGAAAUUGAAUAAAAUGUUUAUUUUAUAAUUUAUGAUAAAAUUUGUAUUUGGUAAAUUUUAUAAAAACUGCUAUUUUUUUUUUGUAGAGAAUUAUUUUUCAUAAACAUUUUAUUAAAUAAUCUAUUAUACAUUAAUUUUUAUUAUAAUCUUAAUAUUUUUAAAAAAUAAUUAUAUCUUAUUUUUUCAUACACCAUAAUAUUAAGCCGUUAGAUAUCAUAUUACUACCACAAUCAAAUUACAGCUACAACUAGUGUAUAUUCUUUCUAGUAUCAAAGUUUUAAUCUAGUAAGUUCAUAUUUUUUUAUAUUUUACUUGUAUUUCCUAUUAUAAAAUUAAAAAAAGUUUGCAUAUAAUUAUGUAAAUUUUUUUGAACUUUGAACAAUUUCACAUGAAUUAACCAUAACUUUUAAAAUUAAUUUCAUAAACUUGAUUUUUAAUAUUCAAUCUAUUUAUAUUUUUUCCGUGUUUAUUACAUCAUUUUUAAUAUUAAUGUAAUGUAUAUUACUUUUUUUUAUCUAGAUUACGUAUAUAAUAAAUUUUUUUUUUCAGUUUAUGUCAUUUUACGUUUUUUUUUUAAAGUUAUGUCUAAACAUCAUUAAAUAUAAUAAAAAAAUAAAAGAUAAUUUAAACUUACGUAUGUUUUGGUUAUUAUAUAAUAAAACAAUACAUUUAUAAUAAAAUUAAGCAAACACACGUACAUUACUUUUAAAAUUUACAGCAACUGAGACAACACAGCUUACUAAACAUCAAGCAGCUUUUUUAAUUAGCUGCUUAUUGCAUCCGUAUAGUAAAAGCAACUUAUUUAAUUAACAAUUGCAAUCCCAAAGUGGGUCUUUGUCCUCGUCCCAUCUCGUAACCCGAAAAAUAAAUUAUCUUUAAGCCACCAAAACUAUUUGAAAAUUUUGGGGCAAUGGAAAUGCUAUUUCAACAAAAUCAAAAGAAAUUAAUUUUCCUAUGUCGGAUGGACACGGAGUUGGUUCGGUUUAGAAUUAAUCCAUAAUUUGGUUCCCCCUUUUUUUGGUUUUUUAAAGUUCAUUCAUUUGUAUUUUGUGAUUUUUUUUAUAUUACGUUUACUAAUUCUUAAUUGGAAUGGAUGGAAUCAGAAUGUUAAUUAAUAAUAAGAAUAAUUUUUUUUACUUUACUUAUAGGAAUUGGAAUCAAAAUGAGUUGUAUUACUAUUAAUCUGUUUAUUUUGUCUUGGAAUCAAAAUAGAUUAUUACAAGUUACUAAAAUAACCUAAGUUGAUUAUUUUCAUUAUUUAUUAUAAUAAUUGUGAUUAUGAUUAUUGUCAUUCAAUAUAAUUAUUGUUAAUAAUAAUAAUAAUAAUAAUAAUGACGACAAUGAUAUAUUAUUAUUAUUACUACUACUAGUAGUACUAUUAUUAUUGUAUUACUAAUGAUAAAUAAUUUAGGACUUAUUUGCAAGUGGCAAAAAUUAAUUAGGGUAAUUUAAAAAUUAUAAAAAUUUAAUGGGGGUAAAAUAAAAACUUUAAGGAAAGGAAACUUGAUUCUCAACAUUCUUUAAUAGUUAAUUCAAAAAACAUAUGGGCCUCAUAUAUUUCAUUCUCAUUCCCACUUCUAUUUUAACAAAUAAACGCUAUCAAUCAUUCUCAUUUCAGAUUCUAAUUCAUCAAUCUUACAAAUAAACACACCUUUAAUAUGAACUGAUCAAUUUUUAUUGAUUUUUAUAACCAAACCACAUCAAAUUGAAUCGUUGGUGCCGUUUGGUCUUUUAGUGGGCAUAGAUUUUUUUUGUCCACCCUUGUCCAUGCCUAUAAAGAAGGGUUUUAUACUCCAUAUUUUUAUACUUGAAAAUGAAUAUAAUAAAAGUAAAAACAGCACGCUUGAAUGGGUUGAAUAUCUCUAUAUUUUGUGUUUUUAUUUCUAUUUAUGUGCACUUUGUUAUUUAGUGAAUCUCAAUUAGUAACAAAUUACCCACCAAGUAAUUUUUUUUUAUUACAUCCAUUUUCAUCUCUUUAUUAUACAUAUAUAUUCUUUAAGUAAUAUGAUGAUAAUCCGACUUCUUUCACACUAAUACGAACGAGAUUGGAACCUCAUACUUUAAUACAUGCUAUCAUAAAAAAUUUUACAAAUCGAACAACUAAGCACUCACAAGUUUUUGUUUCACUUACCUUGAAUAAUAUAUCAAGUAAAUGAAAUAUAUUUUUUAACAACCCUAAACUAUAUAUGUCGUCAUUUUCAUGAAAGAAUUGAUCAAAGCACAAUGAGGAUGCCAUUGGUGAUGCAAAAUUGCAAAUGAGAGGAGAGAUUCACACCAAAUGCCUCUAUUUUGAUGAUAAGUGUUAAAAAUGAGAAUUUUCCAUCUCUUGUGCAUCAAUCAUUAGCAUUCGUCAUCACUAGUCAUUCACGUUCGAAUUCUUUAGUGGCCUCAUUUAAUCUAAUAUACGAUAUGGAGACCAUAUAAAUUAAAUUAUUUAAUAUGAAAUUAAAGAAUGUAGGGUGUCUCCUCCCCUUGUUAUUUUUGGUUUACUAUGUAAUGAUGCUUAUGGGAUUGUACACUCUCGUUUAGUAUUGCAUUAACUCUUCGUGAGCCCUUCUUUAAUAAAUAAUAAAAAAAAACAUGUAGGGUGGGUGUAUAAUAAAGGAAGCGGGAGUUAUGUAAUAAAAAAAAAAUUACUUAUUUGUAGAAUUGACUUGAAGAUAAAGGGGCAUGUGAAUGAUGUCAGGGUUGAGCUUAAAAAAAGCCCAUAGGAAUGGUCUUCAUGGCUCAAAUACCUUACGUAGCCCACUUAUAAAAUUGGGCCUUCAAAAGAGUUUCAAGUCCACUGUUGAACUUGUUCAUCUUCAUCCUGCCUUGUGACAUGUUUUGGUUUUUUUUUUUGGGUUAAUCUCUCUGAUUCUUUUUAGUUUUUUUUUUUAAAUAGAAUUUUAUGCUAACUAGUAUUAUGAAUAUUCCUAUUCAAAUACGUACAUGGGUAAAGUGGAAUACCUAACACUCGGUAACAAUGAAAAUAGUAAUAUUAGUAAUCAUUUGACAAGUUUCAGUUUAUAAUCUAAUAUGUACCCUGGUGCUUAGGUUCAGAUAUUCAGAUGAAUUUAAAAUACAGAGUUAAAAGAUAAGAAAAAUACGAACUAGAAUGCACUAUUUUUGUAUUUAGUGUAUCGAAGUUUAUAUCUUCUUUUUCUUUUUUAAUCUUUCAACUCCAUCCUGAUAAUUUUAAAAUAUGAAUGUCAGCAAUUAAGCAUGACUCAUCAUAUGCUAUAUUAAUUUAAAUAUACAUUUUGCAUUAAAAACUAAACAAUACUAAAUUCUAGUUUGUAAUCAAUCCUUCUAAUAAAAAGACUUGUUUAAUAUAGUAGUAAGUAUCCCGCAACACCAUCAUUAUGAGUUUUAAUUUGACUUUUAAGAAGGGACAAAGAUCCUCUUUUAAUAUUUUUUCCCCUAAUCUUUUCAAGUGAAAUAAGUGGUUAAGAUUGAAUUUUAAAAUUUGAUAUUGACAAUCAAGCCAAUUUUUUUUUCACUUUAUUUAGAAAUAAAUUUAUAAAUAUUGAAGGACUAAGAGAAAUUAAAAGAGAUUGAAAAAAAAAAGGAGAGAAUCCUAAUCCUUGAAGAACAAACCCAAAUUCUCUAUCGUAUCAAAUGAAAAUUCAAAUGCAAAAUAAAGAAAAAUGAUAGGUAAAAAUCAGUGCUCUAAAAGUGAGCGGAGAAUUGAUUCUUCUUCCCUUACUUUAUAAAGAGAUGGUGCUAAUAAUAAUAUACUUAAACAAAGUUGUAGUAGGGAAUAAACACAGCAUGCUAAAGCCUAAUAAUAACUAAUAAUGGGAAGGGAUGCAGCCUGCCGUAGCAUGAAAUUGAAAUCAGCCUAAUCAGGCUAAUCAAUAUCUUGUGUGGCAGUCUUUAGCACCUUCAUGCCAUCUUUUAUCUGCUUACUUUUCCUAUGAAGAAAAAAGAGAGGAAAAAAAGGCAGAUUUUUAGCCACCAAUCAAAUUCAUCUUGACAAGGGGAAUUUUUCAGAUUGAAGCAACGACUAACCUCUGAAUCACGUAGUAUAGGCAUAUCCUUGAGCAAAACAUUCCAAUCAAGAAUUAAGUUUGGCAUAAACUUUAAACAUAGACCCUCAAGGACCCAUGUGGUGCCAUUGCUAUCCUGAUCAGAUUCAGAACUGAUUUCGAAGUUGCUGAUGUCUUCAUCCUCAAGACAGAGAUAUUGCAGGCUUGAGAGGUGCUUAAGAUUAAUCCAUUUUGGCAGAAUUUCGUGGCGGUAUCGCCUGAGGUAAAGCUCCUGAAGGCUCGCAGGAGGCAAAAGCCUAUCCAACAUCUGUGAUGCUUGUUUUUCUUUACAAUCCUCUGCAUCAAUAGCUAAAACUUUGAGUUUCUCGAGCUGUGAUAAGACAUUCCAUUCAUCUUCCGAGAUUUCACUCUCAUUAUUUACGGACAUUCGUAGAACUCUUAGCUGCUUCAGUCCCAGCAGGGCGUUAAGUCGACAGCCUUGUGUGUUAGACUGACUCUCCACCCGAAAUCCAGACAGCUCCUGGAGAUAAAUUAGCUUCUCGAGUCCGCGAGGUAGAUACUGGAGAGGACAAGAUCCGAGGUCCAAGAUGAUCAACUUCUUCAAACUAGUAAUUGAUGGAUGUAGUUUGGUGCACCUCCUCAGAACAAGUAUUAGGAGAUUACGAAGCUUUUGAAUUGAAGAUGG
rnacentral:lncRNA from 1 species